rnacentral:pre_miRNA from 1 species
CUAGCUUUUCCUAAGUCAAACUUCUUCAAGUUUGACCAAGUUUAUAGAAAAAUGUACUAAUAUCUACACUGUCCAAUAAAUAUACUAUGAAGAUAUAUUUCAUAAUGGAUUUAAUAAAACGAAUUUAGAGUUAUAGAUGUUGGAAGAUUUUUCUAUAAACUUGGUCAAACUUUAAGAAGUUUGACUUAGGACAAAAGCUAGA